UUUUACAUUAAUGAUUAACUGGCAGUGAUCUGUGUACAUCAGUCACCCAGCCAUCCGUGUACACCUAAGUAGGGAAGGUUCAGAAGUAUCUUUUGUGACUUUGUGAUGAUUCCUACUCUGACUGGUGAGAGGAUAUGGCAAGAGUUUAGUCAGAUUGCUGGUACUCAACUAAGAGAGGGCCAAGCCAUUUAUAUUCUCUUAAUGAGUCCUAUUUAAUUACUGCGUUUAAAAAGUGUAUUUGUUUAAGAUGAUCCACCUGAGGAAGUACAAAUUUAUGAUUUUGUAGUUCAAACACCAUUUCAAUUGUUGAUUUAGUGGAAAUUGUUCCUAACUCCUGGAUUAGCAACAAUGAUUUGCUUCCAGAAUGCUUUGUAAUUUAGAAGUAGAGCAUUACAUGUACAGGAAAAUUAAAUCAGCUGGAUAAUUAGAACAACUGAGAAUGAAAAACAGUACAUCCAAGUGUGUGCUUCCAAGUCACCCAAGUGGCCAUCACUGGGGAUUGAUGGACACUCAGCUCCUCAGAUGCUGUAGGGUCAGCAUGUGCUGGGCUGUUGCACGUCUGGGACCGGAUGCAGCAGGUUCCUUGCUUGUGGCUGGUGGAGCCGGAAGAGGUUUGCAUGGACCAGUCGCUGUGUCUGUGGAGACUCAGGCGUGCUUACCUCCUCAUCUCAUCCCCUCUUAGAGGGGCUAGACAGCUGGAGUCUAUUUAACACAUUUUCGUCUGUUCAUUUUGAUAUAAUCUAGAUGUUAACGGACUUAGAUGGAAACAGGAAGAGAUGGAUUUUGGUCAAAUGGAAAAGAUACUCCGUAGAGGCCCUGCACCAUGUGUUACAAAUACACAGCAUGAAAUCAACCUCAUGAACCUAUGUCUGGCCAUAGUCUAGAGCCACCCGUGGGAGAUGAGCCUUAGGAGCCUCCACACAUGUAAAUGCACCCUCAAGAGAAAUCUGCCUGCACCUGUCCCCCAAGGGAUGAACUUAUUUACAAAUAAAGUUUAAAAGCAGACAAUUGGGAACUGGAGCUGUGGUAAAGGCCUCUAGUUCGUCUCUUGUCUAAUGGCUACCAAGGCUUCCUCGGUGGCCUCCACCCUCCAGUCUCUUCUUCUAAGACUGCCUGUGCAAAUACAAGGCAAACCUUCCCAUUCCCAUUGCAAGGAUCCAGCUCAAAUAUCACGCUGCGAGA